GCCUGGGUGGCUCAGUCAGUUGAGCCUCUGACUUCUGCUCAGGUCACGAUCUCACGGUCUGUGAGUUCGAACCCCACAUCAGGCU
rnacentral:tRNA from 1 species